GCCCCACCUGCCCCUCUCUCUCUCCACUCCCGUGCUCCCCACCGGCCAAAGAAGCAAGGGAGCUCCCCCUCACUCUCUCUCUCUCACUCCCUCUCUUUUCUUACAAAAUCUGAGCUGAAAAGAAGGAUUCGAGGGUUGAAAAGUGAAGAACGUCGGAAUUCUUCGAUUUCCUACCAUUUUUUUCAUCACCCGGCGGCCACUAACCUUCACAAGCAUCUUGAGUUCGCAGGUCGGCGAGGAAGAGGCGAUGUUUGGCUACUUUGUGCCUGCCGAUCAGAGCGGCGGGCAGGAGUAGUACACUCUACUCCGAACUCAGUGUUUUGGUAUGGAGCCUAAGGGCAUGUGGUUCCAUAUCCUUUUAUUGUAUAGCUUUUAGUCUUCUACUACUUAGUUUUUUUGCUGGUUAGGA